rnacentral:rRNA from 1 species
UACAGAGGUCUCAAGCGUUGUUCGGAUUCAUUGGGCGUAAAGGGUGCGUAGGCGGCGCGGUAAGUCGGGUGUGAAAUCUUGGAGCUUAACUCCGAAACUGCCUUCGAUACUGGCGAUCUCGAGUUCGGGAGAGGUGAGUGGAACUGCGAGUGUAGAGGUGAAAUUCGAUAGAUAUUCGCGAAGAACACCAGUGGCGAAGGCGGACUCACUGGCCCGAUACGUGACGGCUGAGGUGGCGGAAAAGCGUUGGGGA